GGCUUUUUUCGUAGCCCGCUCUUCAAGAUGUUUGACCCGGAUUGACCUUUUGUUGCUACUGAAGCCAAGAUGGCUGAUACUUAAGCUUCAGAUAAUAAUACACCCGUUGUGUUCUGAAAACAAUAGUUGUAAGCUAAAAACAAAAAUGCAUAUAAUCAAAAUAAUAUAAAUAAUUGUUUAUUCAUUAGGAAAAAAAAAUUCUUCACAGUAUGCAGUAGAAAAUCAUAUUUUUUGUGUUUACGUUUGUCGUCUGAACGUAUCGAAUGAGCAGCUAUCAAUAUCAAUCAUAGGCCUAUACAGUACACUGAAAUCAUGAUUAUUGCAAAUUAGACAUAAACGUGUGCAGACGAUUUAAGUCUUCACGAUUAAGCUCCAGCCCGCUGCCCAAAGACAGUACCAGACACAGCAUUUGGCCAUUACUGCUUCUGACUUUUGUCAGUUUUGGCAGUAAAAAUGCUGCGAUAUUUUAAAUUUACUGACAAGAGCUUUUAGAAAACAAUAAAAAAAAAAAUGGAUUUGAAGAUAUUUUGUAAAAGACUUAUUUCCGUUUAUCUAAGACAAAUUUGCACAAUUAAUUAUAAAAAAAGGGGUUAUUUAUGUCACAUACAACAUAUGACUUCAAAUAUUAAUGUCAAAACAUAGGCCAGGGUUGUAGCGAACAAACAAGGAUGUAUUCCUGCAAUAGAACAUGUACUUUAAAUAUAAUACCAAAAACAACAGUAUUGCAUUCCAUUGUUUUCUUUUUAUGCUAUAGAUGUUUGUGAGAUCAUUAGAUAGAAGUGAGGAAAAGAAAAGGAAAUGGAAUAAAGAAAACAAAAUAAAUUAGGUAUUUGAGUUUUUAUAAAAUACAUCAUUUGUUUCUGAUAUUGUUUGUUAUUUGCAUGUAUUAAUUUCUUUAUCAAAUAAUGAAAAAUUGCUAUUAAAAUGUAUAUCGACUUGCAGUUGAAUUAAAAAAGAAUGCGCAAUAUUUACAAUUGCAUUAUGAAGGAGCAAGCAAGUUAUGUGUUCUAAUACUUUUUGAAGUCAAUCUAAGAUUUAAGUUUAUAAAUAUAUGUGUCGCACAAAAAUACUCAAAAUAUGUCAUUAUUCCUUUAAAUUUAAAGAAUAUUUGAAGAAAUUUGAUAGAUGUGUGUGAAAUAUGACUCCCUUUCAACACUUUUAUAUUAUUUCUGUCAUAUUUCAAAAAUGCACUUACAUAUACCACUAUCUUAAUUUUUCAUAUAUAUAUUAAAAAAUAGUAUAUUGCUUUUAUUUCAACAUAAAACAAAAUAUUAUUAAUUAUACUCAUCCUUAUUUCAUUAUAACUUUCAGCUGCAUCUACCAGAGGAACUCAAUAAUUUAGCUUGUACAAAGUCAUUGAUUUAGUUUCUUCAUGGAUUAAUACACUUAUUGCUAAAACAUUGAUAAGAAUGACACUUUCAGAAAUUAUGAAACAGCUUUAGAAUUCAUCAGAUGAAGUCCAUGAUUGGUACAUCAAACAUUAGCAAGUGUAAGUAUCUUUACUAUGCAAAAAAAAUGAUGUGUAUACUGUUAAAAAAUUUUGAUGCUGAUUUUAUUGUGUAUGUAUAUAUGUUUAUUGUGUUAAUAUAUGUUGGUCACAAACUGUAAAGUUUACGACAAUAAAAUACUUGAUUUGAGUAUAUAACAAAUGAAUCAUGCCAGUUUAAUUUGAUUUAUUUCUGUGAUAUUGAAAAUUAACUUUUAAAUGUCUACAAUGUGUAUAUCAUUGAAGUAUAUUUCAGUAAAUAAAAAGAAAAAAGUUUACUUACAAAUGAUCUGCUUAGCACAAAAAUGGUUAUAUUACUUUCACAAUCUGAUUGAGUUAAAUCCAAAAUUUAAAUGCAAAGGGUAAAUUUACAUAAUGGCAUGUUUACAUUACUAUAUAUUUUAACUUUCUUUUUUAUAAUAGUUCUUUUCUUUUAAAACAAAAUUUAUUAGUUGUUUAAAAGAUAAUCAUAUAGCAUAUAAAAUGCUAAUUUAAGGCAAUAACCAGUUUUAUUUCUUUCUUCCAUCACAUGUUCCAACACAAUUUAGUUAUAAAUAUUCAGAUUUAAAAUAUUAAAAUAUGUGUUAUUAUAUUUCCAGAUCAUCAAUAUCUCAACAUGAAUAUUUGAAGAAAAUCUAGUUACUUCACAAGCCUUGGAAUCAUGAUAUGGACAUCCACAUAAAUUGAAUCAACUUAUCACCACGGGUGACCAAUAAAUUCUGACAAGACUAUAAAUGAAGUGAAAAUUUAAAUGUAUACAAAAUGGUUGUAUUUUAAAAGUUCUGAACAUUUUUAAUUUCCUUUCAUUGUUGUUUAUUAAAACAUUGUCUUCAUA
rnacentral:lncRNA from 1 species